GACAGAGGAUGCAAGCGUUAUCCGGAAUGAUUGGGCGUAAAGCGUCUGUAGGUGGCUUUUUAAGUCCGCCGUCAAAUCCCAGGGCUCAACCCUGGACAGGCGGUGGAAACUACCAAGCUGGAGUACGGUAGGGGCAGAGGGAAUUUCCGGUGGAGCGGUGAAAUGCGGUAGAGAUCGGAAAGAACACCAACGGCGAAAGACUCUGGCUGGGCCGACACUGACACUGAGAGACGGAAAGCUAGGGGGAGCGAAUGGG
rnacentral:rRNA from 1 species